UCGGUGCCGCAGCUAACGCAUUAAGUACUCCGCCUGGGAAGUACGCUCGAAAGAGUGAAACUCAAAGGAAUUGACGGGGACCCGCACAAGUAGCGGAGCAUGUGGUUUAAUUCGAAGCAACGCGAAGAACCUUACCUAAGCUUGACAUCCCAAUGACAUCUCCUUAAUCGGAGAGUUCCCUUCGGGGACAUUGGUGACAGGUGGUGCAUGGUUGUCGUCAGCUCGUGUCGUGAGAUGUUGGGUUAAGUCCCGCAACGAGCGCAACCCUUGUCUUUAGUUGCCAUCAUUAAGUUGGGCACUCUAGAGAGACUGCCAGGGAUAA
rnacentral:rRNA from 1 species